UAAAAUCGUAUUUUAAUAAAAAUAAAAGUAGAAUACGAUCCUGACCAGCAUGCUUAAAACGUUGUAAGGUCCAAGGACUCCUAAUCACUCACGCAAUUAGAUUCUGCACUCUAAACAUCAGCUCUUGAUCCAUACCCAUAGUCAAUUGGUUUAUUUGUGCCUUUCUUUUCCAGCUUGAGCACCAAUACCAAAUACUGAAUUUCACAUCUUCACAAAUUGGACUCCUGAUUAUCUCCCCUCCCUUGAAAAUAGCAUCAUUCCUCCUUGUCCACAACGACCAUAAUACAACAUCGAGCAUGGACCUCCACACCUUUCUUCCAAAAUCCUGCUUCAACCAUUGUUCAACAGAAUCCCACCCAAACAAAUUGGAAAACAAAUCUGGCUUUGGCUGCAACAGGGUACGCCACACUCUAAUGCAACAGAGCAAUGCAAAAGGAGGUGUGGAAUUGUUUCGUCAAAAGUACCACGCAUUGAGCAUAAAGUAGUUACUUGCAUACCUCUGUAAAGAAGAUUAUUGGCAGUUAAGGUUCUAUCGAGCAUCGAGGACCAGAGAAAAUUUUACCUCUAAUAGCAACCCGUUUGCCACACUAAUUUGAAAGGGAAAGAAACAUGUUUAGCAGCUUGAGUUUGUCUAGUUUGAAUUGAUUCUCUUCCC
rnacentral:lncRNA from 1 species